AUUGAACGCUGGCGGAAUGCUUUACACAUGCAAGUCGAACGGCAGCAUAGAGAGCUUGCUCUCUGAUGGCGAGUGGCGAACGGGUGAGUAACAUAUCGGAACGUACCUAGUAAUGGGGAACAACUAAUCGAAAGAUUAGCUAAUACCGCAUACGACCUACGGGUGAAAGCAGGGGAUCUUCGGACCUUGCGUUAUUAGAGCGGCCGAUAUCUGAUUAGGUAGUUGGUGGGGUAAAAGCCUACCAAGCCGACGAUCAGUAGCUGGUCUGAGAGGACGAUCAGCCACACUGGAACUGAGACACGGUCCAGACUCCUACGGGAGGCAGCAGUGGGGAAUUUUGGACAAUGGGGGCAACCCUGAUCCAGCCAUUCCGCGUGAGUGAAGAAGGCCUUCGGGUUGUAAAGCUCUUUCGCAAGAGAAGAAAUCUUGCUAUUUAAUAAAUAGUAAGGAUGACGGUAUCUUGACAAGAAGCACCGGCUAACUACGUGCCAGCAGCCGCGGUAAUACGUAGGGUGCAAGCGUUAAUCGGAAUUACUGGGCGUAAAGCGUGCGCAGGCGGUUUUAUAAGUCAGAUGUGAAAUCCCCGAGCUCAACUUGGGAACUGCGUUUGAAACUGUAAGACUAGAGUGUGUCAGAGGGGGGUAGAAUUCCAUGUGUAGCAGUGAAAUGCGUAGAUAUGUGGAGGAAUACCAAUGGCGAAGGCAG
rnacentral:rRNA from 1 species